rnacentral:rRNA from 1 species
UACGUAGGGGGCAAGCGUUGUCCGGAUUUAUUGGGCGUAAAGAGCGUGUAGGCGGCUUUACAGGUCCGUUGUGAAAACUCGAGGCUCAACCUCGAGACGCCGGUGGAAACCGUAAAGCUAGAGUCCGGAAGAGGAGAGUGGAAUUCCUGGUGUAGCGGUGAAAUGCGCAGAUAUCGGGAGGAACACCUAUGGCGAAGGCAGCUCGCUGGGACGUUACUGACGCUGAGACGCGAAAGCGUGGGGAGCAAACGGG